UGGCGCCCAGUGUGGGGCUCCUGGCACGAAGGGCUCAACGAGGGAGCCGUCCUGAGACGCGCGCGUAAGAAUGGAACUAACAUUUUUGUGACCAACGCUACACGGGAGCCUGCCACGCUGCUCAAGUCACAGUCAGUGGAUGGCGAUCCUUUCCCUUUACUUCCGGCAUGGGUCAGGCAUUAAGUGACCAUACACGCUUUGUGUCAGGUUUAAGUAAAGCUUUAAAGACAAGAGGGAUAAAGGCUAAAGAAAAAGAUUUAUUGCAGUACUUUCAAUUUAUUCAUAAGGUUUGCUCUU
rfam:Cavia porcellus supercont2_174 genomic scaffold, whole genome shotgun sequence.